rnacentral:rRNA from 1 species
GACGAUCGGAUACCGUCGUAGUCUUAACUAUAAAUGUUGCAAACCAGGGAUAGGACAGUGUCCAUCUCGACUCCUCCUGGACCUUGGAGAAAUUACGAGUCUAUGGGUUCUGGGGGGAGUAUGGUCGCAAGGCUGAAACUUAAAGGAAUUGACGGAAGGGCACACAAAGAGUGGAACCUGCGGCUUAAUUUGACUCAACACGGGAAAACUCACCAGGUCCGGAUACACGUAUGAAAGUCAAGCUGAAAGACUUUACUCAAUGAUGUAAGUGGUGGUGCAUGGUCGUUCUUAGUUCGUGGAUUGAUUUGUCUGGUCUAUUCCGAUAACGAGCGAGACCCCGACGUUCCUAAUAGGGGUGGCAGCCAGACCGGUCGCAAGGCCGGUUAGCUCGCCGCCUGAAGUUAUACUUCUUAGACGCAUCAGAGCCGAUAAGGUUCUUGAAAUGGGUUAAUAACAGGUCAGUCAUGCCCUUAGAUGUUCUGGGCCGCACGCGCGUUACAAUGGCAUGUA